GUUUUCACUGCUCAAGCUGCUGCCUACAAAACAGGAGAUGCCAAGCCAUGCACAGAAAUUCACCAAAAUGCACAGAUUCACCUAUCAAUAUACAUACUUGCCUCACAACUCACACAAACACCACCGAGCACUGAGACUCACCCUAAAUGUACAGACAAGCCCUUCAGGGCACAGACUUACUCUGUAACAUACUAAAUCACAUCCCCCAUACUUAGAUGUGCCUUAUGAUUCACAGUGAUGCGUGUAAACACAUAGAUUGCUUCCACAAUGCACAGAAUUGCAUCAUAACACAGACUUACUCUACAGUGCAAAACUGACAGUGCACAUAAACAUUUCCCAGUCGGCUAGACACACAACACACAUAUUACUCCUACAAUGUAAAGAUUUCCAUCACGGUGGACAGACGUGCUUUUCCAUGCUGUUGAGCUACAACUCUGGCCUACAACAACAGAAAUACAGCUUGUGUAAUAGUUACCAGCAAGGCCUCUAGACCCAUACUAACUGGGUUUGAAUCAAGGUCCCGUCCCUUGCUGAUUGUAUCACCUUGGGAGGAGAUGGAAGAUUGAGAGCAGAGUGCAAGAAUGGGAAGAGGGCUUCGUGCCCUGUGCACGUUUGCCACCUAGUGACCAAACUGAAUGGUGUGCUUCUCACCUCAGCGUGAUAGCCUGACCUUGACUCCUGAGUUCCACGAUCGCUUCACAACUGCAAGUCACCAUCAUACAAAAUUUGAGUUUCCCUAAGUCCGCGCCUUUGAGAGCUUUGGAACGAUAUGCAAGUUCAAGUCACCAUCCUGUUUCUUGCUACCUCCUGUGAGAAGACCAACAUUUGGGUUACACUUGUUUCUACUCUUGUUCUUCUGCUUGUUAUUGUUGCCUCUGCAGCCAUUGAUCACACACGUGUUGUCAUACAAAAACUGGUUAGCCUUUUUAUUUGUCUUGUGAAUUUUAUCAUUUGGUUCUUAAGUAUUACAAAUUAAUAUUGUGUACUCUCAUUGAUAUACAACUUGCAGUCAUUGUAAAUAUGCGUGAGUUAGGGGUGAGAAUGGCAUGCAAGCAAAAGAACAAGGAGAGGGAUGAUAGAGAUGCAAGAAGAGUAAAGAGGGCAAGAAAGUUUAUGUUAAUAGCGAACACAAUGAAAGUUCUUUAAAUGCUUGAUAAUGGUGAAAGCAACACUUCCUAGGGCAUAUUUUUGGUGUUAAUGAACCUACACAUCAUACAAUAAAGAAAAUUGAGAAAGCAGUUGGGGCCAGUGAAUCGGGGGCACACAAGAAUCACUGAGAAAAUCAUACACAACUCAAAAUGCCACAAUAGGGAAAAUAUAAAGAGAUUUGCACUUGUGGCUUCUAAAACAGAGAAGGUUGAAUAGGUCUCUUUCUGUGUGUAAAAUCUGCCAGUGAGCAUCACAAAAAUGCAAAUUUAAAUUUCAAUCUGGAUGGAAAGUUAUAAAAUUCAUUGCAAGUAAUGGGUGGUUGGGUAGGUUUAAGAAAUGCCAGGUGGGUGGAUCACUUGAGGUCUGGAGUUUGCAACUAGCCUGGCCAACAUGGUGAAACCUUGUCUCUACUAAAAAUACAAAAAUUAGCCAGGAUUGGUGGCGGGUACCUGUAAUCUCAGCUACUCAGGAGGCUGAGGCAGGAGAAUCGCUUGAACCUAGGAGGCAGAGGUUGCAGUGAGCUGAGAUCGUGCCAUCGCACUCCAGCCUGGGUGACGAGAGCAAAGCUCUGUCUCAAAAAAAGAAAAGAAGAGAAGAGAAAAGAGAAGAGAAGAAAGAAGAGAAGAGAAGAGAAGAGAAGCUGUGGCCUGUAAUGAAAAGAAGUGGAGAAGUGACUGUCAGAGGAAGCAGAUUAAGGAGCUGCCGGAGAGUAUCCUGAAUACCUGAAGAAGACGAUUGAGGACAAUGGCAAUUUGCCUGAGCAGGUUGUCAGUGCUGCUGAAACUCUGGAAGCAAAUGCCUACUUGCACAUCUAUUGCAAAGCAUGAGAAAAGGACCAGAGGCUUCAAGCCUGGAAAAGACAAACUCAAAGUUCUGCUUUGUUCCAGUGUGUUCUGAUUAAACCCAUGUUGCUUUACAGAUUCCAAAAUUGUUACCUUCUUUAAAGAGAAAGCCAGAAACACUUUUCUGUGUACAUGAAGGGAAACCAUGAAAUAUGGAUCACUGAGAAACUCUUUUUGAACUGGUCUUUGAAGUGUUUUGUUCUGAGGUUAAAUAACAUUUAAAUGAAAAAAAAAUCUUGACUUCACAGUGUUGUGAUUCUGGACACUGCUCCUACAGACAAAAAUGCAGUCAUAAAUGCUGCUCCUUGUGUUCAAGUCAUCUCCAUUACCCCCAGUACGACUCCACUCCUUCAACUCUUGCAUCUGAGAGUGCUAGCGAUGUACUGUGCUCUGCAUGUAUUUUGACUACCUGAAGAUCUUAUCAGAGACACCAGAACUUUACCAUGAAAGUGGCUUGGCAACAUUUCUCCGUUUGUAAUGCUUUAACAGGUGUAGAAGAAUCAGUGAGACAAAUAAAACAAUCAAUACUUAAUGAAGUCUGGCAGAAAUUUUGGAAUGAGGUUGUGACUGAUUUGGAAGGUUUCCUUCCAGUGGUAGAAGAAAUUGAAAAUAUUGUAACAUCUGCAAACCAUUUGAAUAGUGAAGGCCUUGAAGACAUUGAGUUAAGUGACAUUACUGAAUUGUUAGACUCUCACCUUCAAAAGAUAGUUGAGAAAUAUUUUGGAGAUGUGAUCACAUCAAAAGGCAAUAGAAGAAGCCAGCAUAGGUUAACAUCCAGAACUCUAAGAAUGUUCAAGUAUCUACUCCACAAAUGAAAUUGUCACAAUGAUUCAAAAGAAAGAGAUCCUUUGGUGGGCUACAUAUUGACUUUCAGGGGAGAAGAGGUUGACAUUAGGCCAUGUCAUUCAAACCCGUUCUGCAAACAGGAAAACAGGAAGUAGAAACGCCGCACACAGAUAGUUAAACCUUGGGAUUCAGACUCUGAUGGCUCUGAUGAUAUGGUGAUUUGUGUGCUGGGGAUGAAAGAGGAGCAGAAGACUGAGCUUACAUCUCUUCAGACGAAAUGCAAUUUUCUCUAUUCUUUCCCUGUUACUAUUGUUACGACCAAGCAUUUUCAUUGAUCCAUUAUCAUCUUCAUCUUGAGAUCACAAAGGAAGUUAAUUGCCUGAUAUCCACUCUUGUUAAUAUAAAAUAUCAAUGAUAUUUAUUUUAUUGUUUUAGUUUGGUGAACAAACUGAUUGUCUAGGCUUUCAUAAUACUCAUGUCCUUGCCUCAUUUUUUCCUAAAAAGUCUUAAAUUCCUCCAACAUGGGUACUCUGAGAGUUUCGGGAACUCAACUAUAGCAUUUAAGGAGUGGGCUGCUACUGUACUUGGCUGGAUAAUUUGAUUUUGUACUCCUGAAAUUUGUUUUAAUUCUGAUUAAGCCUAACUUGCGAUCUCACCAGAAAGGAUUAGUUUGGUAUAAGUUAAAUUAAUUUCUUUUCCAGCAAUUGUAUAUGUUAGCUAUUGGCUGAUCCUGAAAAGCAGUAUAUUUAUGUUAAAUUUCCAGAUUUCCUUUGGUAGCUAAUCAAGGAGGAACAGCUGCUAGAGUUCAUUUUCAUAGAUUCUUUCUGUUCUCAUAUCUGGCCUCCUCAGUGAUUUGAAGAAUUGAAUAUCCUCCAAAAAAUGGAUAUUAUUACCUCCUGUUCUCUGAUGGUGAUGGAGACUUCAUUCUCAGAUUGUUUUUAAAUUCCUUUCAUAAUUCCAUAUAUUUACUUCAUUUGAUUCAAUUGUGUUACAAAAGUUAUUGUCAUGGUUGUUUUAAUUUUGGAUGUUUGGAAUUUUCCAGGCAGAUUUAACAGAGGAAAAAAAACCACAAAGCCAGAGAUACGACGCUGUUAUCUUGUUCUAAGAAUUUUGGGCAAAGGCAUAGGCUGAACCUGCCUGUUCUUUUGGCUGCUUUACACAUUCCCAACUGAUGUCCAUUUUGAACUCAGUUGGACAGUUAUUCUGGGGAAUAGAGAGGAAGUCCAAAUAACAUCGCUGUUGUUUCUGUCUUAAUUGCUGUUUGUGCCGGAUUCACAGCACUGGCCUCAUCAUUAUAUCUGAUAAUGAUGCACAGAAAACCUGAAUAGAGAAAAGAAGAAAGAUAAUUCAUUGGCAUGUGCUUGCCAAAAAGAGACUUUAUAUAACUUGAGAAAGCAUAAAGACAACCUGGAAUGAGGAAAUGUAUGUACAGUAAUGAAAAAAAAAUGCUUUAAACAGCUGUGUCAAAAACUGACAUCAGAGAGUAAAUUGAAUUUGGUUUUGUAGGAAGCAGGAAGCAAGCCCACUCAAACGUUGAAAUUUGGCAUGAGGGAGUCCAGUAACUUUCUCCUCAAUCUGUGAACUAUAUGUGAGUUUGAUAUUUUGAAGGAAAAGGAAAAAAAAAAGUUUAAAAGGGCUUCUGCACAGCAAAUGAAACUAGCAUCAGAAUGAACAGGCAACCAAAAGAAUGGGAGAAAAAUUUUGCAAUCUACCCAUCUGACAAAGGUCUAAUAUCCAGAAUCUGCAAGGAACUUCAACAAAUUUACAAGAAAAAACAACCCCAUCAAAAAGUGGGCAAAUGAUAUGAACAGACACUUCUCAAAAGAAGACACUUACGCAGCCAACAAACAUGAAAAAAAGCUCAUCAUCACUGAUCAUUAGAGAAAUGCCAAUCAAAACCACAAUGAGAGCCAGACUGGGAUCCGGUGCGGAGAGCCCCUCAUCCUGGAAAAUUG
rnacentral:lncRNA from 1 species